rnacentral:lncRNA from 1 species
GAAAGUGGCAACUCCUCCUCAAGUUCAAUGAAUGUUGUGAAGCAACCACAAAGGAUAAUAAUAUUGUGAAACCCAUUUACUUUUUUUUAAUCCAUAAUAAAAAUUUGAAUGAAUGAAAGUACUAACCUUGUCGAUGAGAAGAACUUUUAGUUUAGUAGAAUUCUGAAGCAAAAGAAUUAGUGGUUCUAACAAGUCCAACUCGUCUACAAGUAUUAUCUUACACUCCAUAAGCUGAGAGAAGCCAAUAGUGCUAAACCACACAAGCUUCAAUGAACAC